AUUUUUUAGAAGGUCCACCAAUUUAUACACGGCAGUAGUGCACUUUAGCGGAACGAGGUCAAAAUGGACGGGAAAAUUAUACACUAACUGGCCAUACUAAGUUUGCGCCGUAGCUUUCUCUCCACAUGUAGACAUUUUGCUUCCGCGAGCGAGGAUCGACAGUUGCUCGUUUGGAAAUCUAAUUUGCAUACAUUUGAUGCCAAUAGCGCUCGCAACAAACAAGCCAGUUCUAAAAGAGUCCAAAUUGAUUUUAGUCAUGCAACUGCUCCACAUAACUCCGCCAUAGACACACCAGUUGCUGGAGUACCAAAAAGCUGUGAUGAAGGUAUUUUAAUUGAUCCACGACAAUCGGUGGCAUAUGGAAUGCGUGAUGGAAAUUUUCUGGUGCUUGAUAGCCAAUAUACUACAAGAGAACCAUCUCCAAGCAACUUUACCACACCACACCGUCAACAACAAGAGUCGUUAGAUAAAGUAGAAACAUACGCUUCUGCUGAUAGCAUCAGUAACAUAAGCAACAGCAGUACCUCGUUUCUACACAUGCCAAACAAAAAUUUCGUUUGCGCUUAACUGCUUGGAAGGCUGCUGAUGCUGCUGAUGACUCUUCAUAGAAAAUGCAUUGUUUGUAAUUCAUUAAAUGUGAUGUGUACAUACGUAUGUAUUUCUGUUUGUAUUAUAAACUAUGUACGUUAACAAUUUACAUUGUAUUAAAUUUUUACUUGAACACGUGCAAAUUGAUCUGACCUAAAGAUUUGGGAACCUCUAGAAAAGUAAUUGACUGCAGUCAAGAUGACAAAUUUUUAUAGUGUUAAGCAAACCAUUGAAAACAACAUCAACAUUAGGUUUGAAAAUUGACGAUGGCUACGUUUGUAUUUUGGUUUUAAAUAUAUUUUUUUUUUGUAAAUCGACUUUGCUCUGUAAAUAUGUAUCUAUUAAUAUACAUACUGCCAUUACGAAUAAAUUUUAACAUAUUUUUCGUUUUUGUAUAUUAAAAUUUGUGGUUUACAUUAAAUGUACGACGAACGCUAAUUACGUAAAUACAUAUGCAGCCCGAUUCUGAAUAGGAACUCCCCGGGGAUUUUCUAUCUUUCUCCUUUCCUCCUAUCUUGAAUAAAAAUUUCCCAGAUGAUUUUUUUUCUUCUCCCUUUCCUCCUAUUCUAAACGAACUUCGAAAAAGGGAAAAUGUAUUUCGGGAAAAAAGUAGCUAUCACGAAUGCAAAUCAAAGGGAGAAUGUGAUGACAGUUUUAAAUAAAUUUUCCGCCAGAAAAGUGUGAGGGAGCAGUACCCAAAAAUGUAAGUAUUUGCGAACUUUUUAAUAGAAAACAAUGUUAAACAAUUUUUUAGGUCAAAAACUACAAACAAGAACCAAUUAGAGAUACUCAUUAACCUUAUGCAAGGUAAUCCUGGCAUUGCGCGUGGGUUUUAUAGGGGCAGCAAGGAGGACUUAAACAGAUUUUGGCGCAAAGCUGAAGCUGAACUGAAUUCGGCUGGCCCACCAUCUAAA